UGAAAUCUUUCCAACAGGACUGCAACUCUGCCCAACUGGAUCAAAGUGUCAUUAGGAAAUAAAUGGCUGUGGCAUAUGAACUUGAGGAAGAAAUAUGGAGAGGAGUAAAAACAGCAGAGGACAUGAGAUGAAGUAAGAUGAAGUAAAGAAGAAAUAAACUUGUUCUGAAACGGAAUGUUCCAAAGUAAUCCAGUAGAGAAAAGACAGGGAAGUCAGUGUAUAUUGGAAAGAGAGCAGUCUCCCUCCAGACCCCCAGGAAAGAAGAAAAAGAAUGAAAUGGAGAUACUAGUAAAGGAUUCCAAUUUGAAGGUCUUCUUUUGGAGGAUGUUUUAUGAACCCAAAGUAUACUUUAUGUAGGACUUUUCAUAUCCUGGUUAUUUGGUACUAAGAGAAGGGAAUGAACGAGAAUUACUUUAUCACAGAAAGAGGUCCUGAAAGACCAAGAAUGAAGAGCUUCAACAGGGAGCAUUAGAGGUGGAGAAGUAGAAAUGUGCUACAGAAUGACCUAACAAGAACCAGAACAGCAGACAUAAAUCUCUUUUCCAUCUGCGUCCAUAGAGGACUUUCACUUACUUUGCUCUUUUUUAAACC